UUUAAGGCUAAGCACUACAAAAAGUCACUUUCAUUUAAUUUCCCCAAGAACAUAGAUGUGCAUUUAUUAAUAUAUGUGUAUUAUGUUUGAUAUGAUUUUAUUUAAUUUGGCCCGAAUGGUUUCGAAAGUAAUUAUCUUGUUUGCCUGCCUUGUUUCACCUUUAUUUGCUUUCUUAAAAAGCUUUUAAGUUCACUAUUUGCAGUUUUUCAAAUCUCAAACUUAGGGCUUGAUUCCACCACUUUCCAGCCUCAUAUAUUUGAGAAUGAAAAACUGGAACAUUCUUAUUUUAAUAAGUUCACUAUAUAUGAUAAACCUGCUCUGCUACCCCAAAGCUCCCACUUUUUGCGGAACCAAGUCAGACACCUUCUCCACCAGAUACAAACAGUAAGUCACAUGAACCACUUAGGUCCUUUUACAAAAAGUAAAUGGCACGAGAUGAAAAGCUACAAAAUUAAACAUCUUGCUACCUUAUAUAUGACACCAUGCUAAACGUACUUAAUAUAACAGCUUUAUCAAAAAAAGAAAAAUCCUUAAUAUAAUAGACAUAACCUGCUGAAAUACACUUCCCAUUAAUUUUUAACCUUUACUAAGGCUGUUCUAGAUUGUCCUUACAAACCUAUGCAAACAUUGUUGCCAGUUUUAUCAAAAGUGAAAAGCGCAAAAAACCUGUAACUCUGUUGGUGCAAAGCGCAAAUAAAGCGCGGGCUUUAAAGAAGAAACAUGCAAAUGAAGAAAAACUACAAAUAUGUAUAUGUAUUCCAAGACUAAAGUAAAAUAUCAAUUGUUUAGUAUCGUCUCUUCAAUAUUACGCUAAUUAGCAAGUAAAAGUACGAUUUACAGCCUUGAUGGCAACGUUGAAGCGCCCACUAUGCGAGGCGAAGUGCUCAAUUUGAGCCUUGCUUCAGAGCUUAAGCGCGCCUUUAAUAACACUGAUUGUUGGUACAUAGUCAUUUGGUCAGAAAUAUGGCACUCCUUUAAACUUGUUUCAGACAGAGAAAUCACUCACUUUCAGUAAUUAACUAGUGAAUUUACUCAAAACUUAUUAUAACGUAUAUCCAAAAUAACUGUUGAAAAAGCUAUCAAACAACAAAACGAGUGAUAUAAUGAAGUACUGGCCUUAAAGAACUUUGAAGAGCUGCGAUAGUAGCAGUAGAAAUACAUUUUACUAAUUAGUGGAGAAAAAAGCAUCUGUAACACUUAACCAACUAGUGAUAUAAAAAAGAAGAAAAAGCAAUUACACCCAAAGAAAAGUAUCUAUAUUCACUCGAUGUAGAACAAUAUAGACAUGUAAAUGAUAUGCAAAAGUAUAAGACAUUAAGAUUGAGCUCUAUCAACAUUUUCCAGCUACUAAAUUUGGAGUAAAUGAGGUCUUACAUUUGAUCUUCCUUCAAAUUACAUCCACUGCAUCUACGUUUGUGUGCAAACCAUACCUAACUCCAAUUUCUAUCAUCAAUCAAUUUUUUUCCUUUUAACUAUUUGCAACUUUUAAGUUAUUCUUUACACCCAAGGAGCCCACAGUGAGAUGCACACCAAAUUUAUGCAAAAGCUGUUCCCAGUCCCUCAAUUAAAUUAUGUUUUAAAACACUCAUAUCUUGAAAAAUGAAAAUCAGAGAUAUCCAAUGAAACACCGGAAUUUUUUUCUUUUUCAAACAUACACACUACAGACGUUAAAAUGAAUUUUAAAUACUCCACUGCAUUAAAUAAUCAAUUUUAGCUACAGAAUAAUAUUCCACUGCAUUAGAUAAUCAAUUUCAGAUCGUUAUUCGGCUGAUUUGCGAAAUAAAUUAGGUCUUCUCCAGUCACACAGAUCAUUACUUGAAGUUGAAUAUACUUCCAACUGAAAACUAAAAACGUAAACAUAUUUUCACAAAGAAAAUGCAAAAAAUGUCAGUUGAAGUUGAAUAUACUUCCAAAUGAAAACUAAAAACGUAAACAUAUUUUCACAAAGAAAAUGCAAAAAAAUGUCACUGACCAUUUAUAGCUUCAUUAUUGCGAUCUUGAAUGGAGAUGAGAUCAGUAGGGAAGUUAAAGUCAUCAGCGGCUAAAGACGAAGACGGCGCUACGUUUCCUUCGAUCAUCGCCAUCGUCGAACUCGAUGGCCUCGCUGGCGACGAUGUCAGGGAACUGCCUGUACUCAUUUUCCCUCUACUUUUCCCCUCCUCCUAUCCGAAAAUACAAGCAAAACCGUAUAGAAACCACAAUCCGCUUUAACUUUCCUACAUUGUUUUUCGAGGUUAAUUUAUUAAAUAGUUAUAUGUCGGAUUUGCC
rnacentral:lncRNA from 1 species